rnacentral:rRNA from 1 species
UACAGAGGGUGCAAGCGUUAAUCGGAAUCACUGGGCGUAAAGCGCGCGUAGGCGGUUUGUUUAAGUGGGAUGUGAAAAUCCCCCGGGCUUAACCUGGGAAUUGCAUUUCAAAACUGGCCGACUAGAGUACGGUAGAGGGAGGUAGAAUUUUCCUGUGUAGCGGUGAAAAUGCGUAGAUAUAGGAAGGAAUACCAGUGGCGAAGGCGGCCUCCUGGACCGACACUGACGCUGAGGAGCGAAAGCCAGGGGAGCAAACGGG